rnacentral:rRNA from 1 species
CCUACGGGAGGCAGCAGUGGGGAAUUUUGGACAAUGGGCGCAAGCCUGAUCCAGCAAUGCCGCGUGAGUGAAGAAGGCCUUCGGGUUGUAAAGCUCUUUUGUCAGGGAAGAAACGGUGGGGGCUAAUAUCUCCUACUAAUGACGGUACCUGAAGAAUAAGCACCGGCUAACUACGUGCCAGCAGCCGCGGUAAUACGUAGGGUGCAAGCGUUAAUCGGAAUUACUGGGCGUAAAGCGUGCGCAGGCGGUUUUGUAAGUCUGUCGUGAAAGCCCCGGGCUCAACCUGGGAAUUGCGAUGGAGACUGCAAGGCUUGAAUCUGGCAGAGGGGGGUAGAAUUCCACGUGUAGCAGUGAAAUGCGUAGAGAUGUGGAGGAACACCGAUGGCGAAGGCAGCCCCCUGGGUCAAGAUUGACGCUCAUGCACGAAAGCGUGGGGAGCAAACAGGAUUAGAUACCCUGGUAGUCCACGCCCUAAACGAUGUCUACUAGUUGUCGGGUUUUAAUUAACUUGGUAACGCAGCUAACGCGUGAAGUAGACCGCCUGGGGAGUACGGUCGCAAGAUUAAAACGUCAAAGGAAUUGACGG